rnacentral:rRNA from 1 species
CUCGUAGGCGGUUCGUCGCGUCCGGUGUGAAAGUCCAUCGCUUAACGGUGGAUCCGCGCCGGGUACGGGCGGGCUUGAGUGCGGUAGGGGAGACUGGAAUUCCCGGUGUAACGGUGGAAUGUGUAAAUAUCGGGAAGAACACCAAUGGCGAAGGCAGGUCUCUGGGCCGUCACUGACGCUGAGGAGCGAAAGCGUGGGGAGCGAACA